AUCCGGAGUCACACAUUGUAUGCAACUACUCAAGUCUUACCCAGGUGCUGGAGCAGCUCCCUAGCAGCACCACCUCUAUUUGCAAGAAGAGACAACGGAAGUGCAAGGGUCACUUUAUGCAUCUUUAACGGUUUUGGUUUUUAGUUUUGGUUUUUGUAAAAGCUGCUUUUUCUAAUCUCCUGCCUCUCCCCACUGCCCCCCUCUUAGGCGCUGCCCUUCCAGCUCCACCCUCCUCCUAGCUGACCAGGCACCUCCUCUCUGCUCUUCUUUCCUUCCCAGGCGUUCAGUCCCCAGGGAGCCCAGUCUGGCAGCAGGCAGAGAGUGGGGUCUGUUGCAGUGGUUCAGCUGAAGGCACGAUUUCCUUUGAAAGAUGUACUAGACGUGGCCCUCAGGUCCACAGUAGGAACUCAGAGCCAUUGAGCAGACCACAUCUCUGGGGGAUUGUUUCUUUUUUGAUUUUUCUCAAGCAGGAUUGGUUUAAGACAUUACUAUGUCCUGACCAAGUGAAAUGUCUUCUGAGAACCAUCGCAACAGACCAAGAACAGAACCACCUGAUUAGAUUCCAAAAGUGGGGGCUGAAGACUGGGCAGAGGUCACAUGGGGGCAGAAAUUGCCAGUGAAGAAAUAGCAUUUGGAAAUUCUGUGAAGACGUCGGGAACUCUCAUGCCAUACCUGACUCCAGCCCUAGGAGAAGGAGCGGGGUGGGCUGGCUAAAAAGGAGUCUGUGCUUUUCAGACGGUAGCCCCUCAUCCUGAGAGGAGAGGAGGAGGAGACGGGGGCUUUCCUGGGAGAAGAGGCCCCGCUGGUCUCAGCCAAGAGCCCUGUUGUCUAGCACAGCUCCCUGCGCCCAGCACUUGGCUGAGCCAGCAGCCCCUUAGGGAGUGGGAGCGGGAAAGGAACAUUUUACUGUACAAAAGGGGGUCACUGGUAACACUGAGAACUUGGAAAUAACUCUUUUCAUUUUAAAUCCAUGCAUAUUUGGCCACAUCCCUACCCCUUCCUCCCAUGUCUCCCUAAGGGAGGGGAGAAAAUCAGGAAACCCUCGGGCCAGAAGGACCGCAGAGGCUGUCUGGCUGUUCCCAGGAGGGCAAAGCCCAGCAGCAUCCUCGGCCCAGAGCCAGGAGUUGGCAGCCCACCCGCCUGGCCUUCCAGGGAAAUGCAGAACCAGUAAGAAGCCCAGCUGUUCUAAAUGGUCUGUUCUGGGUGCCGAAGAGGCUUCGCCUAAAAACAAUAGCUUUCCAGUGUUAAUUCAUUUUUGCAAAUACCUCCUCCUCCUCUCUGGUUUAUAAGGGUGGGUGAUGGUUGUUUUAGAUUAUGUCGUAUAUGUUUGGAAAAUGCCAAAAUAAUAAUAAUGACUAUAACAGUAAUAGGAAACCUUUGCAUUUGUCAGGUGCUUCAUAGGCUUCAGAGCACUUCACAGCUGUUAAUUUACUGGCUCUGAGAGAGAGACAGGGUCAGAGUUCUAACACCCCCUUGACCAAGGAGGAAACUGGUUCUAGAAGGAACAGGAACUUGCCCCAAGUGAGCAGAAUGCUGGGAUCCGAGAGGCUUCCCUGAAGCCUGCUGCCCCCCGGGGGCUGGGGGAGAACGGCAGAGCGGGGAAAGGAGGCCGUGAUGCCCCCGUUCCUUCUGCUCCUUCUAUACCAGUGCGUAAAACCACCAUCUAAUACCUCACCGUUCCUGAAGCAGGUUCUUGUCCACUGCCUGGGUUAACCCUGUGAAACAGAUCAUUCUCCCAUUUGAUCCAUGAGGAAACCGAGACUUGGAAAAGCAGAGUGACUUGCUCCUAAGUGGCAGAGCCAUUUGAGUCCCAGUCUGCUGCCUCUUUCCCUCCAGUCUGACCCACACACAGGCUCGCGGGCUGCAGCUUCCAUGCUCUGCACCCUCUCUCAGCCCCACUCCGCAAUUCAAGACCAAAGACGGGCUCCAAGGCAGAGACAAGGUGUGGAAGGCCUGGGCUCACGAGAGUUUUCCGUCUGAGCCCUGAAGCCCCGGUGCAGCUGGCCUCACCCUCGUGCUCUGACAGAGAUCCCCACGCCUGGCCAAGCUUGGGGAGUCACUGCGGAGGGACUGAGGCCAGGAGAAGGGGCAGUGGUAUGCCUCUGGCAGGAUGAGCACACGUGAUGAGGUCACAGGUGGCUGUCAGAAGGUGCCGCGAGUAUCAUCCAGAAAUACUGGAUGGACCAGGGGUCAAACUGGACAGAAGGCCAGAGCUGGAAGGGCCUUGUCAUUGUGGGAAGGCCAUCAAGCCAGAGAGGACAAGGCGUGUGCCCAUGUGACUUAGCAAGCUGAGAGCUGCACCAGCAAAGCCCUUUCUCCACCCCGAUCCACUGCCUCUCCCCAGCACUAUAAGCUUGGUGGCCAGGGUUAGGUGACAGGUGGUGCCAGUCACCAGCCAAGCCUCUUGGCUUCGCCCCUUCUACCUGGCUCCCUCCCAUUAGCCUGGGGCCAAGGAAGCUGCAGUCUGGAAGCUGGAGUGCCCCCAAGUGGUGAGAGCCUGAAAAUUACUCUUUCUGUCACAUCUUAGAAGGUUUAAUUUCUUCUCCAUGAGACAGGGCAGUUGCUGCUGCUCCUCUCUCUUGGCAAUGAGCCUAAAGUUCAUAUUCCCCUCCCUAUAUAGUGAAAAGGGACACUCACACCUGUCCAGGAUUUUCUGUCUGUGUACAAAGUACUUUGACAUUGAUUGCCAAAACCCUCACGGAAAAAACUAAGUCUCAGAAGGCUUAAGAGACUUGCCAAAGGUCACAGAGCUCAUAAGGGAAAGAGUCAAGAUUUGAACUCUUCAACUCCUCUGCUCUUUCUGCCGGCACCUGCUGGGUCUGAGCAGCAGGCAUGCAGAAGGGGUGAGCUACCAGUCUGCUCCCCAGAAGAGCAAGACUCCUGGGAAGCUCAGUCCUCCCAGCUGAGCACAUUUUUAUGAGGAGCCCUGAGAACCCAGAGGCACAUCUAGGUGGCAGUACCCAGAGGAUGAGAAUUUGCAACAAAAGGCAUAACUUGAGCAAAGCACUUGGGUUCGUGAUGCCCAGGAUUGAAGACGUGUUCAGGGGCAACCCUGGGCACUUGUCCUUGAAAGAUGAGUCCCAGCGAGGCACUGGCUGAAUCAGGCCUGGAGCCCUGCAUAUCAGAUCUUCAGCCUGCUCCGUGGCCAGAGAGGGAGGGCCUAGAGGGCAUGGUUCUUGGUGUGGUCUUGGUCACAGACUGUGGCUGGAUCGUGUAGAUGUCAUCAUGGCAUUUUCUCUGCAGUUGCAGUUGAGUAGAAUUCUGCUUUUCCGUCUUGUAUUCCACCUCAUCACCAUGGGGUAUGUGGUCCCCAGCUGCUUGCCAAGCCCGGGAACCCAGAGGGGGUGGAGCGGGCGAUGGAGCGGGCCUGUGGGGAGCAGGCUCCAUGCCGGGGUACAGCCCAGAGGAAGCCUGGCCAGCCCCACCUCCAGAAGCAGGAUCACAGCCGAGGAAACCCAGCCAGGCUAACAGAUUGCACACCUGAGCCUCUCAGAUCUCAGCCUCCUGUGUGGGUGUGCCAGGUUGGCAGCAGGAUUUUGUCCAUGUCCCCUUUUCCUAGAAAACUUGUUACUGAAAUUAGGCGUUACCCGGUUCCAGCGCUCAGGCUUUAAAAUUCCUGGCAGGCCAGCUUCAGCAUUCCAUAACCAACCUCACCUGAGCCAGACUCGGGUCCCACUCCCUCAUGCUCUCCAUGGGUAUCCUCUAUCUCGCGUGCUGCUGAAUCCAGCCAGAUGGUUGGGAGCGGCUGCCACAGAGCCGGAAGGGGGACUAGAACGUUUGCUUCCCUGUGGCUGCAUCCAUAGUCCCUGGGGACCCUGCUGUGGCAGUGAGGCCCUGCGUCCAGACCAGCUCCUGGUCCAGGGGGUAUUUUCCUUUCUGAAGAGAAGAGAUGUAACAGCUUUGCAGAUAAGUACCAGCCCGAGGGAGUCAAAUGGGUGAAAUCAUCUUUGGGCCUGACUCCAGCAAGACCAGCAUCUCCAGGCUCCGGCCUUCCUCCUUGUGCCUGAGAGUCAGGGAAAGCGUGAGACUGCCCAGAGGCCACCUCCGUGGGUCAGCCAGACCAUCUGGAUCUAUGGUGGGACUCCAGCUCUCCCUUACCCAAGGGGAGGAGGUAAGGCCAGGCCUCUGGCAACGUGGAGUUGUCUGUAAUGACCUUUAGAGGCCCAAGGGCCUGUCCCCAUCUCCUGACCACAAGGCCUCUGCACCCCUGUGUCAUAUCCCAUGAGAGAGACUUGUUCUCGUGGCAUGUACCAUCCCUGUGAGAGGGCGUUGUAUAUCAUUUUGUAUUUUUUAAUUCAUUUUAAUCUACAGGCUGGAAUCUAAUUUUUAAAUUUCAUUGGAACUCACAUUUUAAAAAAGAAAAACAUUUAAAAUAAUAAUAAUAAACCUUUGACUGGUGUCUUCCAAGUAGUUUGAUCGAAGAACUCAUAGGUGUUUUCGAAACAGCCUGGAGUGUAAAGUCUGGAAGCCAUGGCCUCGCUUGUGUGUGUGAAGUGUAAAUCUGGUUUUGUUUUGUUGUUUUGGAUUCUUUUGGGUUUUUGUUUCGUUUUGUUUUGAAGAUCAGAUAGUGAUCACUCUGAAAGAUUGAAGCCAAGAAUUUGUAACUAUGAUAUUUACUGUAAGCUGUAGAACAUCCAGUAACUAUUAAAAAAAAGUUUCCAAAAAAAA
rnacentral:lncRNA from 1 species